AGGGAAUAGAUACCCCCGGUAGUCCACGCUGUAAACGAUGAGUGCUGGACGUUGGCGGGUUUACCUGCCGGUGUCGCAGCUAAACGCGUUAAGCACUCCGCCUGGGGAGUACGGCCGCAAGGUUAAAACUCAAAGGAUUGACGGGGCCCGCACAAGCGGUGGAGCAUGUGGUUUAAUUCGACGCAACGCGCAGAACCUUACCAGCCCUUGACAUGGGCGGACGGGGUCCAGAGAUGGACUCUUUCUCGCAAGAGACCGCUACACAGGUGCUGCAUGGCUGUCGUCAGCUCGCGUCGUGACGAUGUUGGGUUAAGUCCCGCAACGAGCGCAACCCUGUCUCCAGUUGCCAUCGGGUAGAGCCGGGCAC
rnacentral:rRNA from 1 species